rnacentral:rRNA from 1 species
CGCAUCUGUGCAUGCAGCAUAUCAAUAAGCGGAGGAAAAGAAACUAACAAGGAUUCCCUUAGUAACGGCGAGUGAAGCGGGAAGAGCUCAAAUUUGAAAUCUUCAAGGUUUUACCUUGACGAAUUGUAGUUUAAGGAAGUGUUUUCUGUUGAAGUUUUGGUAAAAGUUCUUUGGAAUAGGACAUCAUAGAGGGUGAGAAUCCCGUAUUUGACCAUUAUUUUCAGCUGUGUGAUACACUUUCAAAGAGUCGGAUUGUUUGGGAAUGCAGUCCAAAAUGGGUGGUAAAUUUCAUCUAAAGCUAAAUACUGGCGAGAGACCGAUAGCGAACAAGUACCGUGAGGGAAAGAUGAAAAGAACUUUGAAAAGAGAGUUAAACAGUACGUGAAAUUGUCAAAAGGGAAGCGUUUGACACCAGUGUUGUUUUCUCGAAAAUCAAUUAAAAAAGAGUUAGAUUUUGUGUUGUAUUGACUUCAUCAGCUUUCUGCACUCUUUUCUUGUCUUUUUUAAUGCACUUUUCGUUUAACAAGUCAACAUCAAUUUCUUUUGUUGUAAAAGGGUCAUUGGAAGGUGGCUUUCUUUUCGGAGAAAGUGUUUAUAGCCUUUGGCCUCUGCAAUCGGAGAGAUUGAGGUCUGCAGCGUAGAUCCUUCGGGGUUAGAUACAUUUGUGCUAAGUUAUAGCCUUUCAUAGACAACUUGUUGACUAUGAUCAGUCAUGUAGCUUACUCGCUUAUGCUAUUUUACCUACGCUUAGGAUGUUGAUCUGUAGUGCGUGCGC